rnacentral:lncRNA from 14 species
UUGGGGUCGUCCCACAUUGAUGGGGAUUUUCGGGGUCUCACAUGGAAUUGGGGCCGUUUUCGGGGGUCCCACAUGGAAUUGGGGCCGUUUUCGGGGGUCUCACGUGGGAUCCCCCCCAGAAGAAGAAGACCCCCCCCAAGCGGGAGCGCCACGCCUCGGGCAGCAGCUCCAGGGGGGGCUCCAGGCCCGGGACCCCCCCCCAGGAGCCGGGGGGCGCCGGGGGGACCCUGAGGGCAGCGGCGGCCAGGCUGGAGCAGGGUCGGCGGGCGGCCCCGGGGGGGUCGGAGCCCCCUCCCCAAAAACGGCUGAAGGCGGAGCCGGAACCCCCCUCGGGCAAAUCCACCCCCGAGCACCGGCAAGGUGCAGCUCACGGAGGAGGCCGUGCGCCGCUACCUGUCCCGCAAGCCCAUGACCACCAAGGACCCCCGACUCCCCCAGCCCCUGUGAAGCCCCCAGACCCAUUUUAACCCUUUUCACUCCCCUCCCCAGCGAGGUGCAGCUGACGGAAGAAGCCGUCG